AUUGAACGCUGGCGGCAGGCCUAACACAUGCAAGUCGAGCGAGCGGCGGACGGGUGAGGAAUGUAUGGGGACUGCACGAUAGAGGGGGGUAACUAAUGGAAACGGUAGCUAAUAACGCAGCCUAUCGGAUAACCCAUAGGGGAUUAGCUAGUAGGUGAGGUAAUGGCGCACCUAGGCGACGAUCCCUAGCGGGUCUGAGAGGAUGAUAGGCCACACUGGGACUGAGAGCCGGCCCCGACUCCUACGGAGGCAGCAGUGGGGAAUAUUGCACAAUGGGCGCAAGCCUGAUGCAGCCAUGCCGCGUGUAUGAAGAAGGCCCUAGGGUUGUAAAGUACUUUCAGUCGGGAGGCGUUACCGACAGAAGAAGCACCGGCUAACUCCGUGCCAGCAGCCGCGGUAAUUC
rnacentral:rRNA from 1 species